ensembl:misc_RNA 7SK 7SK RNA
AUGUGGGGAUUUCAGGCUGUGACAUCUGCCACCCCAUUAACUCCCAGGGUUGAUUUGGCUGAUCUGGCUGGCUAAGAGGGUGUCCCCUUCCUCCCUCACCGCACCAUGUGUGUCCCUCCCGAAGCCAUACAUUCAGGGAACAGGAUGACCUUCCCUGAAUGGAGGAGGACUUGGUCCCAUCCCCUACUCCAUG